rnacentral:rRNA from 1 species
GAUAAACGCUGGCGGCGUGCCUAACACAUGCAAGUCGAACGAUCCCGCAAGGGAGAGUGGCGGAAGGGUGAGUAACACGUGGGAAUCUACCUCCUCGCAGGGGAACAACCUCUCGAAAGAGAGGCUAAUACCCAAAAGGGUCAGAAAUGAUCAGAGUCGAAAGGCGUGAGGAGAGGAGCCCGCGGCCCAUCAGCUAGUUGGUGAGGUAAUGGCUUACAAGGCUACGACGGGUAGGGAUCUGAGAGGAUGUCCCCCACACUGGAACUGAAACACGGUCCAGACGCCUACGGGUGGCAGCAGUGAGGAAUAUUGGACAAUGGGCGAAAGCCCGAUCCAGCAACGCCGCGUGGAGGAUGAAGGCCUUCGGGUCGUAAACUUCUUUAGAGGGAGACGAGAAAGGACGGUAUCCCUAAGAAUAAGACGACGGCAAACUACGUAGCCAGCAGCCGCGGUAAU